AGAUAUAAUAUGCUUACAGAAUCAUUUGAGAUAAUCAGACUGAACAGUAAGAACGUCGUUCUAUACCAAGGGCACACAUUCUCCAGACAAGGAGGCUGUUUCACCAACCAGUAUUGUUCUAAGAAGAAUUCGCUGCAUUGUUCCGCUAGACUCAAACUGGACAAAUCUGGAAUUAGCAUCCUCAAAGCGUUCACGGAUCAUAAUCAUCCACCACCAAAAAUUUUUCGAACUCCUCAAGGAAAUUAUGUGAAGCUAUACGACAGAUAAAUGACAUCGUGUGUUACGCACAACUUCUCUCUAAUAUAAGAUGUACAAUAAAAAUUAAAAUGUUUAAAUAGAGUCAAAGUAAUUCUUAUGAUCUGAUAGAAAUUAAUGACACAAUCAGUUUGAUUUUCGAGCAGAGAUGAAGUAAUCAUGUAAAUGGUAUUCUUCCAACUUUAUGAUGUCCAUUGUGUUAGAUUUACCAUAACACGGACUCCAUAACUGGACUCCAUUAUAGAUUAAAGAUUCCCGUCACUCUUUUAUCUCGAUGAUGAACUACUCGAUUAGUUACUACGUCAGUCAUAUGGCAACAGAACUUAAAGUACGCUCUCCUAUUUUACCUGGUCUUCAGCAUACUUCAUUAUCGAUGAUGCGGGUGAAAGAUUCCUGUCAGAAAAUAGAUGUAAUUCGAGAAUUCGAAAAAAAAAUAAAACAAACUUGUUUAUGUUUUAGAUCUUCAGAUUACGUACAUAAAUUCCGCCCGUGGAGGUCAGCUUAUGGUUAUUAACGGCUACUCCUUCGCUAGAGUCCACAGGAUGUCCAGGUCUUGGCAUUGCUCCAACAGGAUUUCUAAAAAUUGCAGGGCUAAUUUGAAAGUGCUCAAUGGAAUUGUAUUGUCAUACGAUUUGAGUCAUACACAUUUUCCUCCGUAUAAGCGAUGACCAGAGUAAUUAAUAGUUAUACAUGUUUUGCUAACAUUGUUUAUGGUAAUGUACAAUAACGUCCUUGUCAGUGAGAAUAAGUUUAAAAUAUAAUAUAAUAUUAAUUAAUAUUAAAAGUAUGUUGAUGGUUUGUUACUGCCAUUGAUAUAACAAUAAUAACGAAAUAAGGGCGACGAAGUGAUUAUUACUUUCUUUUCGUAAUUGUAUUUGUUUUAGCAAAUUCUUGUUUGUUUUGAUAUUAGCAAUACAAUUCGUAUGUUUGUUUGUUCGUAGGUAUUAGAAUUUAUCCGUACAUUAAGGGGUUCCAAGCUUAAGAUCGUGAACUGGUAUUCAUUUGCUAGGAACAACAAACAUUGCAUUUAUAUAUAUGAGAGCUUACUAGAACAUUGACUUUAGUAAGCUCUCGAAGAAGGGUAAUACCAAGGUACAAAUCACAUACAAUAUAAAUUAUCACAGUAUAAUUUAAGUCAUAAUAAAUACACAGGUCGGCAAUCUUUUGGCAGGCAAAGGCUACAAUGUGGUAGAAUAAAAUAAAGCUAGUAAUUUUAUGCCUAGAAAUCUAAUCCUAUUGCGUACAAUUGGUCAUCCUACAGAUCCAUAAUACUCGUAAAAGUUUAUAAAAACUCUUCCACCUUACUUAUUUAUACGCCACGAAAUAAAUGUGCUAUUUUCAAGUAUUUUUUUUAUUCAAUGAUAAAAUAGAACUUUUUUAAACCGUUUUUAUUUAUCUCCUAUUUACGAAGACUCCAAUUCUUUAGCAUUUGUGAUUUUUACCAUUGAUUAAAAUUUAAUGAAUUAAAUGAAAAAAUGUUUCAUAGACGAUUUAUUAAUUAUCGGCAGGUCUAAAAUUCGAGGUUAUCGAGUCGAAAGGCAAGAAACCAUUACUGAUGCUGCAGGGUCAUACGUUUGCGAGGACUACAAGCGACCAGCGUUACUGGAACUGCAGCAAGAAGCUGUCCAAACAGUGUCCAGCGAAACUCCGAUUCAACGAAUCUGGGGAGAUUGUCUACUACAACUUGAGCCAUAGCCACGAACCCCCGAGGAUGUUUAAAACACGGGACGGGAAAUAUGUUAGGCUUUAAAAUGUUUGUUACAAUUACAAAGUGUUGCACUAGUCAACUUGAUGUUAACUUUAACUUGCGCGUCGUCGUCGUUUAGAUGGAAAUAAAUGACGAAUUUUCCGAUUUUCGUCGCAGAUUAAAGUUAAUGUCAAAGUAAAUGUAACGCACCCUUAGAAAACAUAUGUCGUAUGAGAGUAUUUCAGUGAAAAUUAAACUGGACCUACGGAAAUCACCGCCUAUAUUGAAUAUUUAAGAUCUUUGCGAAUAAAAGUUAGGAUAAUAUUAUAUUUGAAAGAACACAUUAGGUUAACUAAAAAACUCAACAACAGAAAAUGCAAAUUUUAAUCAUUAAUGUGUAUCUUACUGUAGUUAUAUAGACGUAUUUCAAAUAUUGAAAAAUCUGUAAAACAUAACUAUGAAUUUGGUGUUUAACGCUGUUUUUGGGUUACAUAUCUGGAAAAGCACAUGUUUAGAAUACCUUUAACAUAUGUAAAAAUAUUAAUUAAUAAAUAUUGUCAAAUAUUUUCUCUCGCAUGUUUUUAUUCCAAAAAAGAAUUUAACUUUAUCUGAAAUAAUCAAACUACUAAUAUAUAUUCCCAUGUAAGUUUUUGAAAAUAAACGUUCGUUUCAGCAAAAGAAAUACGAAAACAAAACAGAAACAGAAAAAGGAGAAAACCUGGAUCUCGGGGUUACAAAAACUAUACUGAUAAAAUGCUUCAACUGGCAAUAGAGAACGUCAAAGCAAAGACAAUGUCGACAAGAUUGGCAGAAAAAGUGUUUGGUGUGCCUAGACGCACGAUCAUUGAUAAACUGGGCAAGAAGAAACAUAGCAAGGCGUUUGCUUUAAAGGUCCCUGUCAAAGAAGAAGCGAUAAGCAAGCUAAUAAUAACUCGUGUAAUAGAUUGUUAGAAGAGUUUUGAGAGUAAUGAAGUUCCAGACCAUGUAUUUAAAGUUGGAAUUAACGACUUUUAAGAAUAAAAAAAUACAAAUAAAAUAUCUAACUAUAGAUAAAAGAAAUUAUCAAGAAUUAAUUGCAAUAUCAGUGCAAUGCGCAGUAUAUAGCGGGAUAGCUGUUAAUUAUUAUUAUAUAUUAUGUUAAUAGGGAGGAAAAAGUAGUAAAUAAAUUAUUCUGUUUCUUUUCUUUAGCGACACUGUUUUAGAUUGGUUUCUCUCUUUCGUAAUGUUAAAUGAUGAAAGAGAUAAAGAAAAACAUAUUGCUGGAAUUCACUGAAAGAAAUUCACUGGAAUUUGGUCGAAAUAAAAAGUGUAUAUUGCGUCUUCAAUAAGGCAUAAACAAAAAAUAUAGUUAUACCAAAAUUGGCGGAGAUUGACGUCUGUAGAAAGCAAACGUUUUGUAUGAUAUUAUUUAUUUAGCUUUAGUGGUUCCUCGUCUUAUUUACAAUGUAGCAUUAAUUUUCUGUACGUUUUCAAAAAAUGUCAUUACAGAACGGGAAUUAGAGAAAAUCCGAAGACAAAUCAGAAAUAGAAGGAGAAGAAGACCCGGCGCGAGACGUUACAAACACUACACUGAUGAUAUGCUUCAACUGGCAAUGGAGAAUGUCAAAACAAAGACAAUGUCAACAAUAUUAGCAGAGAAAUUGUUCGGUGUGCCCAGACGCACUAUCCUCAAUAAACUAAACAAUAAACAUUGUAAGAAAGUCGGCAGGCCACCAAGGGUCAAAGAAUAACAAAGAGAGAGUUAAUAAUAACUCUUAUACGUACAAUAUCUUACUUAUAGUUGAUAAGUUAGACAAUAAAAUUACAAGAUUUGAACACAUAACUUCAUUAUUAUAUUAACGGGACUUGAAUUUAUCUUUCUGAAUCUGGAAACCAGUGAUUGCAAAAAUUUAAUCAUGUCAAACAUUUUCGGAUAGAAUUUCAGAUACCGACCCAAAACCGAUCCAAAUAUGUCUUUAUAAAACAGCUUUUACCACAAAUGUUUCAAAGGUUUAGUUUUAGUUGCUAUAAUCUAUGCCGCUUGUUGUCAGCCCAUCUUGUAAUAGAGGCUCAUCAUAUCAUGACGAUAGAAUAUCAACCUCCCUCCAUCAUAUAGUGAUGUCAUAUGUAGUUUAUAAAGAUAGAAGAAUGUUUUUCACAUAUUUGAUAAAAUAGCUAGCUUUUGCCCGCGGCUUCGCCCGCGUGUAUUUCAUAGUAUAAUCUCGGUCAUUCUUUUAUCGCGUAUUCUGUAAGACUGGUAAACAUACAGAAAAUAUGAUUAAUACAGCCAACUUAAUCGAAACGUGUUCUUGUUUCCUUCAACCCAAUUCAAAAAUCCUUGAACCACAAAUAAAGUGUGAUAAAGAGUUCGAGGUGAGUGUAAUACAUAGAUAAAAUAUAUAUAUUAUUCUUUUACCUAUGGUGUAACAAGAACGGAUAAAUUCUAAGGUGCGUAAUCGUAUCGGCGCGAAUCUCCUAGCGUAGAAGUUAACCAUACUUUAAGGCCUGUACGUACAGACUACAGAUCUAAUGUGGAAUCGACACAUUUCUAAGUAUGUUACAUUAUUCACUUAAUAAGUUUUAUAUUUUUGCAGAUAUUUCAUACGAAAUUGUUAACACUUCAAGAGGUGGUCAGCUUAUAAUGAUUAACGGUUACACGUUCUACAAAGUGAACAAAAUAUCCAGAAACUGGCUGUGUUCGAACAAAAGUUCUAAUCGGUGCAGCGCCAAAGUUAGACUGAAUGCUCUAAACGAAAUCACGUUCCACUAUCUUAAGCAUACACAUGCCCCUCGCAAAUAUAUUGUGACUAGCGAAGGAAAGUACUAUAAAAUAUAAAAUAGGAGAGAUUUGUAUGUAACAAACAUAUAUGGAUUUUUUGAAAUGUGAUUAUUUACUGCUAUUUAUUCAAGUGGCGUCUCUAUUUCUGAGUCAAAAGCAUAAUAUAAGAUGAUAAAUAAUGAAAACUAAAAAAUAGUAAAUUACGUAGAUACACUGAAGUGCCAUUAAAUUGUUUUGUUUUGUUAUUUGAAUACUUUUGAGUUUUGUUUAUUGAGUGGUUUGUUCGAGUCACCUUUCACUUGCGCGCCGCUGUCGUUUAGAUAAAAUUGCGUGCUUUAAAAGUUAACAUUAAAGUUUACUGGUGCAACUAACCCUAAAUUGAUGUAACUAAAUUAGUUAUCGUCGAACGGAGAAGUAAGAUAGGCAGCGUGCGCAAUAUUUUUAUUUUAUUUAAAGAUUUUGUUUUAGUUAGAAAAAGGGCCCUUACUGUUGCUGAACGCGCGAGAAGAUAUAGAGCGAAAUUGAAAUUAGAUCCAGAGAAAUACGAAGAAAAAAGGAAACAACAUGCAGCACUAGUUAAAAAAAAUAGAAAGAGAAUAUUUCAGCUAACAGGUGAAGAGAAAGAAAAAAUGCGUAGAAUGUGGAGAAACCAGAAACGGAACCAGCGGCUGAAAAUAUUACGUACUAAAAUAAAAAUUGAAAAAUAACCAGAAAUUUGGAUACUUUGUUGAUCUAUUUCUAUCUUUCCUAUAGGAAUUAUUGCGCUGUUAACAUACCUACGGCAAGACCUCUUUAUCGUAGGUUUUUAGUUGAAGCCGAAGCCGAUAUCUGGAAUCUGAAUGGAAUGGAAUCUUAGUUUUCGUUCUAUAUUGCCACUUGCAAAACUUUUGAAUAUUUUAGCCAUGGAUUGGCCGAAGCCGAGGCUUCAGUAGGACAAAGUAUAGGUGUUAGGUGUAAUGUUGCAUAACAAUUUGCUUGUCUGGAGAGCAUAUGUGAUGAGAUAUAGAGGAAAAAAGUGAGAUUUGUCAGGUUCGUGGCAAGUAAAAACCACUAGUCUCUGCUUGCCUCUCCAAACAGACGUCAUAAUAAUUAGCUAAUUUGGACAGAAAAAAAAAAAACAUAUUUGGAAAGGUAGUGGGUUUAUGGAUGCAAGUAAAUAUUGGAUAGAUAUACAUUCCUAUUAGGGUACUUGCUGAUCUCCAUUUCUAUGCUAAAAUUUGAUGUAGGUAGGUAGGUAUGAUAGAUUACCUGUAACGAAAUGUGCUAGCUGUCACAAUGGUGACAGCUGACAUUGAAAGCAAAUUACUUCGGUUGACGUUUCACGUCAAGUGUAAUCGAACGACUCUAAUGAUAAACAAAACAUUUACGUAUAUAUUUUAAUUAUUCUCAUAAACGUAUUGACUAAUUGAUAAUUAUUCAAUCAAUGACAAUAUCCCGUUCAAAAGUUCAAUGGUAGUUCAAGUGUACAGUAGUAGACUAUUAUGUGAAAUUAAAAUGUGUGAAACCUAACCUAAAAGAUCGAAUUUAAGUGAAUAGUAAUAAUGUUAACUUAUCACUGUGCGUAACCAUUUACAGUUAGUUUUCACGUGUUAGGUUAUUUGACAAAAAUAGAGUUGCUCCGAUGAAAAAUAAAUUUAGCGAGAAACUUGAAAUAACUGUUGGUAGAAAAAAAGGCAAUAGUAUAUAUUUUAUUGAUUCUGGACGAUAUGAAGAGUUCAUCUCUCAAGUAAAAGACAUCAAGCAGCGAUAUAAUAAGUCUUAUGAAGAUUACAAAAUGCUCGCUAGUUAUGAUGUAAUUGAAAUUAAUGGGAGAGAGCGACUAAUUAAGCCACAAGACGAAACAAAUCGUAAUAUCAAGUUUUAUGUGUGUAUAGAUGAGUUGUUUGGAGUGCUUCACACUAUGCAUUUGCUAUUUAAUCAUGCGGACAAAGAUACAAUGGAUGCAGAGUUGAAAACUAAAUAUUGCAACAUUUCCAAAGAGGUUAUUAAGAUUUAUCUGAGUUGUUGUCAAUUUUGUAAUUGUAAAACAUAGCUAUACAUCAAUCCAGUGUUCAAAAAAUAGUUUUAAAGAGAGUUUUAAAUGUUCUAAAUAUAUUUUUAAAGACUGUUUUGGGAAGGUCAAUGUUUUUUGCCGUUUUCUUUUGCGUCGACAUCUGUACGAGUUCAAUAUUAUAUCGCCCUUGUUAUGAAUAUAUCAAUGCCAGGUGUUCUGUGUGCGUAGAGCUCAUGAUAAAAUAGGUACCUACCGCACGUGCUCUCAAAUGCAUAAUUUUAUCUUUUAGAAAUUCGCGAUAAAGCACAAUAAAUAAAUUGGAAGACUGCCAUAAAUAAUAACUAAGGUAUAACUCAGAAGAAGAUAAUAUAUUUAUUAAUUUAAUUUAACUAAUCAGUCAAGAAUACUUUUAAAACUGAAAUACUUUUAUGUUCGAAUUAUUGUAAUGAUUGAUGUAUGUUACCAUUUCUUGUGCGCCUUUUUAUAAGAUAAAAAUUUUAAUAAAUAAAAGUUAUUAUUAAGUAAUUAUUAUUAACUUAUAUUCAGAUCUGAGAACGGAAUUUGGAUGACGUCUGACAUCUAAAGGCUGGUAAAGCAACAUUCAUGAUCUCCCGGGACGGGGAGAGGCUGAUGAAACUCGGCGACUUCACUUUCAUCAAGGACGCUCCUGGCGACCACUGCUAUUGGUCGUGUUAUACCCACAACGAUGGGUGUCCAGCGAGGGUCUACACUCAACAAAACAAAGUCACCUACGCGAAGAACUCGCAUAACCACCCACCUACAGAAUUUUUUGUAUGACAGUGCACAGGUUUAGGAUUUUUAAAUUGUUCUUCAGGAACCUUACCUCGUUUGGGAGCUAGGGCGUGGUUCAAAAUCGAGACGUCACCAGGUGACGGAGUAUAAUAUAUCUCUAUAGUCAAAUACAAGUAUAUCUUAUGUAAUAGUUAUGUAACAGCGACGACUAGAGGCAUGGGACAUGGCAAAACGAUCUUGUGAUACGUAACUUUUGGGUGUAUUUGAUUUAUCCUUUCUCACCACGUCGCCUGGUAAAGUCUCUGUCUUAGUAACGAAGUUUCUGUUCUUUUUUGCUAGUUUCUUCCCAUUUUGAGACUGAUAAAAACACUUUUCGAUACUUAAAACUAAAUUAUCGUGGAGUAUACAUGACUCCAGUAUAUUACACGUUUCAUGUAGAAUUUUAUAAACGUACAGGGUAGAGUUAGACGAAACGAAUUUAUAUUUACGUCUCGAACUGCUUUUCAAGAUAAUUUAAGGCUUAUUUCAGAUUGUUAACAAGCAGUUUGAUUCCACUUUAAUAAUGAUUAUUAAGUUAAACUUAGGCAUGAAAAUGCGUUCAGUCUGUAUUUUUUCAUAUUGAUAACAACAUUCUGUGUUAUUACGAACAUUUUCAUGGCUGAGCAUUUAAUCUUACGCUUUGUUGUAUAGGUGCUAAUUUGUGAUAAAAACUAAAGAUGUGAUCUCUUUAUAUCUUGCCCUUUUCUUAAUUAGGUUAAGUACAAACGUGGCAUAUCUGAUAUGUUUUCAGUAUUAGCUCACUUGUGUUCCAUAGCUCUCUAUUUUAAGAAAUAUAUUAUUUUUUAAUAUUUU